CAUCAAGAAGCUAAAUCAUAGCAUUAACCUUUUAAGUUAAAGAGUGGGAAAUUAAAACUCCCCUUGAUGA
rnacentral:tRNA from 1 species